rnacentral:rRNA from 1 species
UCACCAGCAAGUCGCUUGUAUACGAGAUGUUGAUAUUCCACGUGGAUAACUGUGGUAAUUCUAGAGCUAAAACAUGCACCAAAGCUCCGAUCUCAUGACGAGCGCAUCUAUUAGACCAAAAACCAAUCGAGAAUAUUCGCCUCAAAACGAAUGCCUCGUAAAUUUGGUGACUCUGAAUAGCUUAGCUGAUCGCAUGGUCUCGCACCGGCGACGUAUCUAUCAAGUGUCUGCCUUAUCAACUUUCGAUGGUAGUUUAUAUGCCUACCAUGGUUGUAACGGGUAACGGAGAAUAAGGGUUCGACUCCGGAGAGGGAGCCUGAGAAACGGCUACCACAUCCAAGGAAGGCAGCAGGCGCGCAAAUUACCCACUCUCAGCACGAGGAGGUAGUGACGAAAAAUAACGAGACCGUUCUCUUCGAGGCCGGUUAUCGGAAUGAGUACAAUUUAAAGCCGUUAACGAGGAUCUAUGAGAGGGCAAGUCUGGUGCCAGCAGCCGCGGUAAUUCCAGCUCUCAAAGUGUAUAUCGUCAUUGCUGCGGUUAAAAAGCUCGUAGUUGGAUUUAAGCUCGAUGACUCGGUCCAUCCAUAGGAUGAGAACUGAGCUCAUCGGCUAUCAUCGGCUGGUUUUGUCUAGGUGGCUUUAAACGGUUGCCUAGGCUGGCUAGCAAGUUUACUUUGAAAAAAUUAGAGUGCUCAACGCGGGCUUAAUGCCUGAAUAGUCGUGCAUGGAAUAAUGGAAUAGGAUUUCGGUUCUAUUUUGUUGGUUUUUUUAACCGAAUAUGGUAAGAGGGACAGACGGGGGCAUUCGUAUCGCUACGUGAGAGGUGAAUUCUGACGUAGCGAGACGCCGGACUGCGAAAGCAUUGCAAUAUUGUCUUUCAUAAUCAGAACGAAGGUAGAGGUCGAGCGAUCAGAUCCGCCCUAGUCUGACCGUAACGAACACUAGCGUCGCGGCGUAAUAGCUUGCGCGCUCCGAACUAUGUUCCGUUCGGGGGAGUGGUUGCAGCUGACUUAAAGAUUACGAGAUCGACGGGGUGGACUGGCUAUUGACUACAGUAUUACCUGCCGGACCGUGAGAUGAAAUUGAGCCUAUCUGUAUCCGGGCGUGUGACAUGGCUCUAGGUGGGAUGAUUUGCGGCUUAACCGUAAGAGCGGAACUCUGCCA